rnacentral:rRNA from 1 species
CGGACGGGUGAGUAAUGUAUGGGGAUCUGCCUGAUGGAGGGGGAUAACUACUGGAAACGGUAGCUAAUACCGCAUAACGUCGCAAGACCAAAGAGGGGGACCUUCGGGCCUCUUGCCAUCGGAUGUGCCCAGAUGGGAUUAGCUAGUAGGUGGGGUAACGGCUCACCUAGGCGACGAUCCCUAGCUGGUCUGAGAGGAUGACCAGCCACACUGGAACUGAGACACGGCCCAG